ACAGAAAAGAGCUGUAGUUAGAAUUCAACAAUAACCAUGAUGGAGUGGUUCCUAAAGGGAGCAAGGAAUGUACUUCAUGUUACAGGUUUUCAAUGAUAAUAACAGAGGUCAGUCUCUUGUCUUCUCAGAGCUGUACUGCUUUACCUUCUUCACUGUGAUUUGCAAGGUGAAAAACCGUUUAUUUUCAGUUAUGAAGUUGAUUGUUUGCAGUACUGCAAUGUUUUCAAUGCUGAGAUUAAAUAAUAAAUAAACUACAGGCCUCUCUCUCUCUCUCUCUCUCGCUCUCUCUCUGGAAUAUGAAUCCAAAUUCUUCUGGCAUUCACUGUGAACACCCACACAAUAAUGACCAGAGACAAUCUCCCUGAGACUGCUGGGCUUAAGUAAGGUACUGUGGGCCUGUGCUUCAUUAAUGAGGCACUGAGGGUUCUGUGAGCUGAAUACCAAACAGGAAAGAAGUCUAUGACUGUCAACACAGCUCUUGCUAAGUAAAUGGGCUGUCCACACAUGCCUUAUAAAAGAACCAUGGUGAAUGCAUUUCUUUGAAACACACAUGUUCAACCAAGCAGAAGCAAUUCUAUGAAAUAAUAUGAUGCGGGGGAAAAUGUAAAAGUUGUACUGCAUGUUUACACCUUUCUUUGAGCCACUGGAAUGUCAAUAAAAACUGUGACUGGC